CCGCCGUGAGGGACCGUGUGCGCCACUCGAGCUGCUCCUCACCGCGGUGCUGGGCGCUGCUGUUAAACACUCACUCCUGGUUGCUGUUUCUCUCGUGGUUUAUUUGUAUUUUAAAAGUAGUCAGGAUGCGGUUUUCCCCCCCUUCUGACGCGUGGGAAGCAAAGCCGGUGGCUCGUGUCUAACAGCUAAAGGAGAACAGCCACGCGAGCUGCCGGUCAAACUGCGUCCAACAGCAAAAGGGACCAUUCAAUCUGAAUGAAACCAGAAAUUCCAUAUUUCAACAAAAGGUGAUGACAAAGAAAAACCUCCUGGAAGCUAACUGUUGGAUAUGGGAUGAUGGAGACCAAGAUAAUUGAAUCAACAGAAAAAGUGUGAAACAGCUCAAAGGACUUUUCAACCAAUCCACAAGUUCCCGUGCUCAUGACAGAGGUCACAUUGUUGCCCAUUUUGAUUCAGAAGGAAAGGUGGCCUGGCUCACUACCUGGCAAAGCCAUACAGAAGUUAUCAUCUGGAAAGGCAAGAGCUGAGCUGGUGUAGCAACAGACGAUCCUUGUAAAGAAACAGUUCCAAAAUCCAGAAGAAUCCCACAGCACUACACAGUAAAUUCAAGCCAAACAACAUUUGGCUUUGCUCUGCUGAAGCACACAGCUACAAGUGUUUUGUUUCCAAGUUGUAAAGUCUAUCCCUAGCCCUCCAGUGAGAAAGAACAGUCAGAUUAUAAACUCAGGACUGUUCCACAUCAGCAGAUCCCAUUUGUAUAUUCCAUUGAGCUCCCAACAGAAAGUAAUAAACACACUGAUAACCUAACUAAACCUCCAUCUAGCCUUUGCCAAACUAUCAAAGGAUCUAUGAAAAUAAAAAGGAAUCCCCAGCCGUGCUCAGUAACCACAACUAUUGCCUGCUGAACCUCUCAGGUGUGCACUGCCUGCUCCAUGCUCAGGGAGAGGUAGAACCUGUGUCAACACUAUAGCUGUACAUCCCCAGCCCCACCCCAUGUUCCUAGGAGGCCACAGCAAGCGACUUGUAGGUGAGAAGGUGGCUGUAAAACAAGCUGACAUUUCUAGGAAGAAAUGAAUACACCACGCACACAUACAAAAUGUUACACUUUUGUUUGAUUGUUUGUUUUGAAAGACUGUUUUCUACUAAAAAUUUUUAAUUGUAAAUAGUCUUUUUUUAGUGGUAUGCCAGUGGAAGGAAUUUGUCUCCUAACUUUUAGAAUUGUAUUUGUAUAAGUAUAAUGAUGAGAGAACUAAAUCUCUGACUGUACAGUUAUGUCAGAAUGCAUCUUACCCAUGUAAACCGUGUAAAGAAAAGUUGAACAUUUCUUGCCCUUGCUGCAUUUGAGCAACAGUGUUAUUAACUCAGCCCAACCCUUUCUCCUUUAGAAGGCACAAAGAGGGGCUGUUAAAACAGUGCAGUUAAGAGUGAAGAAAAAUAAUUACAUCAUGUGAUGAUGGAAUCUUGAUACCACAGACAUUUGAAUGGAAAAUUUCUACUUUCAUAGCAAGGUUAUGACGGAACACCCAAUUUCAUGUCCUUUUUUCCCCCUACAAAAAUAUCUGGAUUCAUAUUUGAUAUUCCUUAAUAUUUCUUUUUCUCUUUUAUAAAUUUUUACUUAUAUAUGUUCAUGUCUGUGUAUAGAAACAAAAAACUGUUCUGGUUUUCAAAUAAAACCACUUAAGAUUCAGUUUUAAAAAGAAGGAAUUUAGAAAAUA